GUACAUGUCAAUCUCUGGUCUUUCUAAGACAAGACUGAGAAUUUUAUUAUAGAAGAGGAGCAGUAAUGCACUGGCCAACAGAGAGAAUGUGCUACCUUCUCUGUUCAGAUGGAGAGCUGUGGUAGAGGUCUCCUUGCUCUCUGCCGAAUUCCAGACCUGAGUCCAGUUAAGGCAUGGUCUUCAUGAAAACCAGCCAUAAGUACACUAUUUCCUGGAAGGCCAGCUCUUAUUCAGUAUAUCCCAGAACCAGCAUCCUGCAAUAAACCUGAUGUGUAA